AGAGUUUGAUCCUGGCUCAGAUUGAACGCUGGCGGCAUGCCUUACACAUGCAAGUCGAACGGUAACGCGGGGCAACCUGGCGACGAGUGGCGAACGGGUGAGUAAAGUAUCGGAACGUGCCCAAUAGUGGGGGAUAGCCCGGCGAAAGCCGGAUUAAUACCGCAUGAGACCUGAGGGUGAAAGCGGGGGACUCGCAAGAGCCUCGCGCUGUUGGAGCGGCCGAUAUCAGAUUAGGUAGUUGGUGGGGUAAAGGCCUACCAAGCCGACGAUCUGUAGCUGGUCUGAGAGGACGACCAGCCACACUGGGACUGAGACACGGCCCAGACUCCUACGGGAGGCAGCAGUGGGGAAUUUUGGACAAUGGGCGCAAGCCUGAUCCAGCCAUGCCGCGUGCGGGAAGAAGGCCUCCGGGUUGUAAACCGCUUUUGUCAGGGAAGAAAUCUUCUGGGCUAAUACCCCGGGAGGAUGACGGUACCUGAAGAAUAAGCACCGGCUAACUACGUGCCAGCAGCCGCGGUAAUACGUAGGGUGCGAGCGUUAAUCGGAAUUACUGGGCGUAAAGCGUGCGCAGGCGGUCUUGCAAGACAGGUGUGAAAUCCCCGGGCUUAACCUGGGAACUGCACUUGUGACUGCAAGGCUGGAGUACGGCAGAGGGGGAUGGAAUUCCGCGUGUAGCAGUGAAAUGCGUAGAUAUGCGGAGGAACACCGAUGGCGAAGGCAAUCCCCUGGGCCUGUACUGACGCUCAUGCACGAAAGCGUGGGGAGCAAACAGGGAUUAGAUACCCUGGUAGUCCACGCCC
rnacentral:rRNA from 1 species